GACGAACGCUGGCGGCGUGCCUAAUACAUGCAAGUCGAGCGCUUCUUUCCUCCCGAGUGCUUGCACUCCAUUGGAAAGAGGAGUGGCGGACGGGUGAGUAACACGUGGGUAACCUACCCAUCAGAGGGGGAUAACACUUGGAAACAGGUGCUAAUACCGCCUAACAGUUUAUGCCGCAUGGCAUAAGAGUGAAAGGCGCUUUCGGGUGUCGCUGAUGGAUGGACCCGCGGUGCAUUAGCUAGUUGGUGAGGUAACGGCUCACCAAGGCCACGAUGCAUAGCCGGUCUGAGAGGGUGAUCGGCCACACUGGGACUGAGACACGGCCCAGACUCCUACGGGAGGCAGCAGUAGGGAAUCUUCGGCAAUGGACGAAAGUCUGACCGAGCAACGCCGCGUGAGUGAAGAAGGUUUUCGGAUCGUAAAACUCUGUUGUUAGAGAAGAACAAGGACGUUAGUAACUGAACGUCCCCUGACGGUAUCUAACCAGAAAGCCACGGCUAACUACGUG
rnacentral:rRNA from 1 species